AGAGUUUGAUUAUGGCUCAGAACGAACGCUGGUGGCGUGUCUUAUACAUGCAAGUCGAGCGGUGCAGCAAUGCAUAGCGGCGAACGGGUGAGUAACGCGUAAGCAAUCUGCCCCCUGUUCGGGAAUAGCCGUGCCAACGCGCGGGUAAUACCGGAUAUCGUGGCCCUCCACAUGGAGGGUUGACAAAAGAUUUAUCGACAGGGGAUGAGCUUGCGUCCGAUUAGCUAGUUGGCGGGGCAACGGCCCACCAAGGCGACGAUCGGUAGCCGGCCUGAGAGGGUGAUCGGCCACAUUGGGACUGAGAUACGGCCCAGACUCCUACGGGGGGCAGCAGUAGGGAAUAUUGCACAAUGGGGGAAACCCUGAUGCAGCAACGCCACGUGUGGGGAAGAAGCAUUUCGGUGUGUAAACCACUGUCGUGAGGGAAUAAGGCUGAGUUUCGGCUCAGUUGGAUGUACCUCGAGAGGAAGCACCGGCAAACUUCGUGCCAGCCGCCGC
rnacentral:rRNA from 1 species